rnacentral:rRNA from 1 species
AGUGAACGCUGGCGGUAGGCCUAACACAUGCAAGUCGAACGGCAGCACAGUAAGAGCUUGCUCUUACGGGUGGCGAGUGGCGGACGGGUGAGGAAUACAUCGGAAUCUACUUUUUCGUGGGGGAUAACGUAGGGAAACUUACGCUAAUACCGCAUACGACCUACGGGUGAAAGCAGGGGAUCUUCGGACCUUGCGCGAUUGAAUGAGCCGAUGUCGGAUUAGCUAGUUGGCGGGUUAAAGGCCCACCAAGGCGACGAUCCGUAGCUGGUCUGAGAGGAUGGUCAGCCACACUGGAACGGAGACACGGUCCAGACUCCUACGGGAGGCAGCAGUGGGGAAUAUUGGACAAUGGGCGCAAGCCUGAUCCAGCCAUACCGCGUGGGUGAAGAAGGCCUUCGGGUUGUAAAGCCCUUUUGUUGGGAAAGAAAAGCAGCAGGUUAAUACCCAGCUGUUCUGACGGUAACCAAAGAAUAAGCACCGGCUAACUUCGUG